UGGUUCCGGCAUCGAUGAAGAACGCAGCGAAAUGCGAUAAUUAAUGUGAAUUGCAGAAUUCAGUGAAUCAUCGAGUCUUUGAACGCACAUUGCGCCCUUUAGUAUUCUGAGGGGCACGCCUGUUCGAGCGUCAUUUCAAAUCCUCAAGCUCUGGCUUGGAAUUGGGCUCUGUCCUCCUGGGCUGGCCUGGAAACUGUUGGUGGUCUGGAAUAGCCUGAUCGUGAUGCAUUCGCGAGUUUAGGUUGUGUCCGCUCUACCCUUUCAUUUCUUCUCAAGAUUGACCUCGGAUCAGGUGGGAAUACCCGCUGA
rnacentral:misc_RNA from 1 species